CUGCCAGCAGUCAUAUGCUCGUCUCAAAGAUUAAGCCAUGCAUGUAUAAGUAUAACCUGUCAUAACGGGGAAACUGCGGAAGGCUCAUUAUAUCAAAUAUAAUUUAAACCCUUUUGAAAGGAUAGAUGGAUAACAAUGGGAAAGCUAUUGCUAAUACAUGACGAACGCGGGCGCGGCAGGAUCGCGCGGCGAGAUUUAUUAGCGGGAUCAACCAACGCAAUUGGUGAGUGAUGAUAACUUUUUAACCUUAAGCCCAUGCGGCGAAGGGGGAGGGAAGAAAUAUUUGCCCCAUCAACUCUGAUGAUUGGAUCGUGGCCAACCAUGGUGAUAACGGGUACGGAGAAUUAGGGUUCGAUACCGGAGAGGGAGCCUGAGAGAUGGCUACCACUUCUAAGGAAGGCAGCAGGCGCGUAAAUUACCCAAUGUUAACUCAGCGAGGUAGUGACAAAAUAUAUCAAUGUGGGUUCGAAAAGGAUUCAUAAUUGAAAUGAGAGAGAUUUAAAUCCCCCAUCGAGUAGCAAUUUGAGGGCAAGUCUGGUGCCAGCAGCCGCGGUAAUUCCAGCUCAAAUAGCGUAUCCUGAAUUUGCUGCAGUUGAAAAGCUCGUAGUCGGAAUUUUUCUCCGGCGGUUUAGCUAGCCGUAAGGUGUAGCUAGACGGGCGGAGAAAGAGUACACGUCGUGGGCGGAGGCACUUAACUGUGCGCCGAACGGGACGUGUUCAUUUACCUUGGCAACAAGUGGACUGUUCAAAGGAAACCAAUGGGUAGCGAACAAACUCCAUGGGAUAAUGGAAGAGGUGUUUUCCUCGUGUUUGUUGGUUGAGGGGGAAGACAAAUGAUAAAUAGGAAUAGUUGGGGGUAUUUGUAUUUAAUUGUCAGAGGUGAAAUUCUUAGAUUUAUUAAAGACAAACAACUGCGAAAGCAUUUACCAAGGAUGUUUUCAUUGAUCAAGAACGAAAGUUUGGGGAUCGAAGACGAUCAGAUACCGUCGUAGUCCAAACAGUAAACUAU
rnacentral:rRNA from 1 species